rnacentral:rRNA from 1 species
AACGAACGCUGGCGGCAGGUCUUAGGCAUGCAAGUCGAAGGGGUGUAGCAAUACCUCGGUGGCGCACCAGUGGGUAACGCGUGGGGAUUAGCCCGUCGGGGGGGAAUCACGCUUGCAAACGAACGCUCAUACCGCAUACAGGUAGAACUCGAUAAAGACUUAUCGCCGAUGGAUAAGCCCGCGUUGGAUUAGCUUGUUGGUAGGGUAAUGGCCUACCAAGGAGAUGAUCGAUAGCUGGUCUGAGAGGACGAUCAGCCGCGCUGGGACUGAGUCACGGCCCAGACUCCUACGGGAGGCAGCAGCUAAGAAUAUUGGACAAUGGAGGAAACUCUGAUCCAGCCAUGCCGCGUGAGUGAAGAAGGCCUUCGGGUUGUAAAGCUCUUUUAGUCGUGAGGAUGAUGACGGUAGCGACAGAAAAAGCACCGGCUAACUUCGUGCCAGCCGCCGCAGUAA